rnacentral:lncRNA from 1 species
AGUCGAAGUGCUUCCGAGGCAGCGCACCGCGACUGCCUCCGCUUCAACUUCAGAGCUCACGCCGCACAGGGUAAGGGACCAAGGCCGCUCCUCCCGUACCUCAGCCGGGCCGGGCCAGCAGUUCGGGCAGGAGCACGACCGCGCGUGUCCGAGGAGCGGCCGCAGGUGAGGGGGCUGAGCCGCGACCCCCGGGGCAAGGCGGGCGGCUGCAGCCCCACCCGGGCCUACCGGCCCCGCGGCCCUGAAGGCAGCCCCGGCCCGGCGACCCACCUUGAGCAGGAUGGAGGGCGGCAGCUGGUUGAUGUCGGGCGGCGACGACGGUUCCCGGCAGCCGUCCCCGGGGUGCUCCAAAGGCUCCUCGCCGCUCCGCUCCUUCACUCCCUCCUUCUCGUCUCCGGAGGGAGGGGGCGGCGGCGAUACCGACCGGUCCCCUCCGUCUCCGCUCCCGGCGGGGCACCUCGGCGGCGCGGUCCCGCCGCUCCCCGCCCCGUCGGCGGCCGAGGGCAAGGCGCAGGGCUGCGGCUCCGCGGGGCACUGGCAGGCAGCAGCUUCGGGGUCCGCCGCGCCGGCGGCGCAGCGCGGCUGCUUGCAGGGGGUGCAGGCGGGCAGGCCGGCCCCCUUGCGCUUGCACACCAUCUCGGAGACGGCCUCGCCAGGCGGCCCGGCCGGCCCCAGGAGGCCUCGCACCGGCGAGGGCAGCAGGCCCGAGAGGAGGAGGCGCCGGCAGCGGCCGCGCGGCUCCCAGGCGGCGGGCGGCAGGCGGAGGAGGCGGCGCGCGGCGCGCUGCUCGGCGGCGGCGUGGGACGCGUAGGGCGGCGGCAGCAGCGGGUCCCCGGCGGGCAGGGGCGGUUCCGGGGCGGACGAGCUGGCGCCGUGCACGAUGAAGCAGAGCAUGCAGGGCCCGCGCAGGAAGCAGCUCCGGCUGCGCGGCGGCACCUUCCUCCCGCGGCGGCGACGGCGGCCGCCGCUGUCCCGGCUCAGGCUGCUGGCCUCCUUGGAGAGCAGGUGGCCCAUAUAGGAGGCGGCGGCGAAAGGGCCCGCGGGGCGUCACCUGCGGGCGGCGGCCGCUGUCAUGCUGCCGGCGGGGGCGGCAGGUGGCGGCGCCGGGGGCGGCGGGGCUGGUUCCGGGACGCGGAGCCGGGAGGGAGACGCUUCCGCUACCGCCGCCCUGACCUUCCCCGCGGGACGCGAGGAGGCGGCGCUGCGGAGGGGCCGCCGCCGCCGCCCGGUGGUGCUGCCGCCAGCGGCCGGGCCGGGAGCCGCCGCCGGAGAGACGGCCGGGAAGGGCCUGGAGGCCCGGCGGCCUCACUCGGGUGGAGACGGGGCCGCCCCAUCACGCGCGGUGCGGGUGCGCUCAGGCAGAAAAACUUACACCUGCUGAAUGAGACCUAA